UUUUGAAGGGUAUAGUACUUUGCUAAGCCAUUAAGCGUUGUGUACACGGGUGACAGAAAGAUGAGCGCACCGAAUGCUGGUGUACUUAGCCGCACCGCCUGAUGGCGCUACCAUCACAAGAUCUAUUUACUAUCGUGUACACUACUCUCGUGGAUGAAUACUGUCAACAUUUUAGGGGCGCGCAGAGGUGGGGGUAGAGUGUGUCUGCAGAUUUAAGAAAACCGGAAAUAUGGUCUAGUGAAAUUACAGUGCCGAUUUAAGGUGAGGAAGGCUAAGUACUUUACGAACCGCCCUGAUAUUUCAAAUCACUCUUAUAUUUUGUAACGAAAGCACACGGUACAAAAUGUUUAUAUUUUUAAAAAUAGUAAUAUUGAAAAUUUGUAAACAUCAAAAAUAGAUAAAUUCAAGGAACACAAAUUUUGAAAAUUAAUUACAUGUUGGAUAGAUCUCAAAAAUUAUGCUUACAUUUGUAGG